rnacentral:rRNA from 1 species
GGGUGUUAUCAUACCAGCAUUAAUGCACUGGAUCCCAUCAGAACACCGCAGUUAAGCGCACUUGGCCUAGAGUAGUACUGGGAUGGGUGACCUCCCGGGAAGUCCUGGUGUUGCACCCU